rnacentral:lncRNA from 1 species
GACGCGCCGUCGACCAAGAUCCGCUGCCGCCGCCGCCGACGGCAGAAGCGACGCCCCCCGACCCCUCCCUCCGGUGUUCAGGAUCCAACAUCCUCCCCUCCAGCGACGGCGACGGACCGCGGCCGUCAUUGUCCUCCUUCCCCGGAUCUCCCCUCCACCUCGAAGCUCCGACCCCCUUCGGCGACCACGACGGCGACGGUUUUGUGGUUGUUUUCUACCUCCUCCGGUCAAGGUUAGCCCCCUCCUCCUUCUCCCCCCUCUGCAACCUCUAUCUUUCUCGAGUUCAUGCCUUCACCGUCACUGAUGAACUUGAACAUCCAUAUCCAGGAAGUGAGCACCGCCUCGUUCUCUCAGAUCAUUCCCACCAUUGUUAAUCACCGGUGAGCACCUAGAUCAGUACACAAUAUUUGGUUGCUGAUGUUUUAGUGGAUGUCCAGAAGAACUACACAAUGCUAGAUCCAGGAAUGUUUUAUUUGCUUGUACAAACUACUUGUCCAGAAGGAGGUAGGAUUGAUGCAUCAGUGUUGGAUAUUAGAAAAUGAAAGAAAUGUAAGCAAUGCUUAGCAGAUUAGAAGAAAUAGAAAAUGAUUCUUAUAUUUUUCUACUGAUGUUGCUUUACACAAGUUUCAUAUGCAUUGGUCAAUAGUAGUUCUUCCGUAGCGCGUAGGGAACUGAAAUAUAUAUAUAUCAGACCAAUGUUUCAUAUGCAUUGAUUUUGUUUCCUUUUCAGUUCUCCUAGGUUUCUUGACGUUGUGACCAUUGUUUAAUAUAUAAUAGUUAUCGUUGAUGACAAACUGUUUCUUAUGAAACAUUUGUAGUACUGUUGUUUCAUAUGCUUUUUAUGGAAGUGCAUACUUAAUCAGUUCUUCUCAACUAUGAAUGUAUGUCAUUGAAAUCUAAAUCCAUAUGCCAACUUUCAGAUUAUUUGUUGCUUGAACUGAAAGGUGUAGCUGCUAAUUUUUUUGUGUGCUUCAGAACUUUAUUUCAUUACUAUAAUGAAGACUAGUUUUGACCCUUUUCGAUCUCCUAGUUACAGACUAGUUUUGACCCUAUUUUGCGAGAUGACCAUUUACAUGAUGAAUCAUUUGCUGCUAGUUUUAGUUGAAAUUAGUUUACUUAGUUUUGUUGCCACCAAGCCUAGUAGCUAAUGCACCUCAUCUUUGUGGUUGGUUUUAUUGGGAUCUUCCAAGGACUGUUUCUAUUUUAUUUCGUACACUAAGAUCCAGAGCAGUUGUGUUCUUGGCCCUUCAUCCAUCAAGAAUUUUUUAAGGUUGUCCCCCGAAAUAAUCUGUAGCCCUAUACCUUAAAGAUUACCACUCUACUUUCAUUACUUAUCUAGAGGCUUUGUUGGCAUCCGUUUUCUUUCUUGGGAGAGACCGUGAACACAAACUCAUAAGCUUUGUUGGCUAUUUUUUCAUCCAGCAAUAUAUUCUUCAUUCAUGCUUUCGGUAGGCUGAUUCUAGUUUCAUCCAUGACACGAUUGUUUUUUUUUGUUGAUUUAAGUGGUGUGGUAUGUCAGUUGCUCGAUUGUUUCUUGUUAUUGCUAGCUGAAAAUGUGGUUGGAUUCAUAUAAGCACAUGUAUGCUAACACCGUACUGUAAGUUUUCUUGGAAAUAUGCAUCCGGUUGUGUGCUGAUUAGAUAGUCAUCUAUGCACAUGUGGGCUAAUGAGGUAUAUAUGGAUCUUGUGCUGAUUAGAUAUAUGCAUCUGGGUGUUGAUCUUAAUGCUGCCACUCCUAGGAAACUGACACGACACAAUGUAUAUUAUUCUAUAUAUUACACAAUUAGAAUAAUGUUUAUACAAUUGAAAAGCUUCGAGGACUAUUUUCAAGCUGGUUUCAGUGUAACAUUCUUUUCUUGCCAAAUGAUGGCUUUCAUGCCGUGGUCGUCUAGGAAUCAAAGGGAACAAUAUUUUAUUUAUUACUCCGUAGAACAUAAAUCAGUCUGGCUUAUUAUGUUUGCAUCUAUUUCAUUCAUAACCAUGCAUAUGUGCUUAUAUAUAGUUUAAAAUGUGAUAUUUUAUAGUAACUAUAUUGUUCUUUUUCUUUUUGCAGGUUUCCUAAAGCUAACCAAUGAAAAUGUCCAAAGAAGUUGAUGGUGGAAGUUUCAGUAGAGUGAUUAUUCCAAUGACAACACAUUUCCCCAUGGAUCAGUCACAUAUGCACAUCUUUUUAAUGGAACUAUAUGUGUUGUUCCCCUCCUUGGAGGCGUCGGUAUGGACUGAUCCCCUCACUUCCCCUGCCCCUAGGUCUCCCGGGCGAAAGCCCUAACUUUGUUGGGCGGCGGCGGCGCUCUUGGCGCCGUUCUCUUCUUGAAGGCGCCGCUUUGUGAGGCUUGUGGUCGGGUGGCGCUUGUGCGUGGUGGGUGGUGGCGGCGGUGUGGCCCUCUUGUCCUAACGUGAAACUUCCCCCUCCGGUGUUGGAUGUGUGCAGUGGCGAUGUUCUGCUCAAGGAGAGCCUCCGACGUCUCGUUGGGGAUGCGCUGACCCUCUCUAUGUGGCCAUCUUCCCGCAGCAUCCAUCUCAUCUUGCGACGGUGCGGCACCUUCAAUCUAGGCAAGGAGGUAGUGGCCUUCUUCGAAGAUAAUGGACGGGAGUGCCGUGCCGGGGCCCGUAGGUGCAUGGCGACAACAUAUGCCCCGCUGGUGUCGCCCCCUCUCUCCUCCGAACCAGUGUGAUAUUGUUCCUGGUGCAGCAUUCUUGGAGGAGGUCCUCGUUGUCUUCGGCUUCGUUCUCUUUUGAUUAUCUCCAGUUUCCGUAGCGUGUGAGGAGUGGUUUGGUGUUGUCCAUCGUUUAUGUAUCUUACCACCGUGUUGUUCUUUCUUUUGCAUGAGGGCGUUUGUUUGUAAUCUGGCCAGUUGAUGGCUUUGUUAAUUCAAAGUCGGGCUAGGCUCGAGCCCCAUCUUGGGCUCGGCUGAUGCCUUUUCUUGUCCGUUUGGGUCACCCCGUUGGAGUUCCUCUUACUGAAAAAAAAAGAAAUAGUUCUCAUGGUUUUUGAAUA